rnacentral:rRNA from 1 species
GAUUAACGCUAGCGGCAGGCAUAAUACAUGCAAGUUGAACGGGAUAAGUUUAGCAAUAAACCUUGAGAGUGGCGCACGGGUGCGUAACACGUAUGCAACCUACCCGAUACAGGGGGAUAGCCUCUCGAAAGAGAGAUUAAUACCCCAUAACAUAGAGUAUAGGCAUCUAUAUUUUAUCAAAGUUCCGACGGUAUCGGAUGGGCAUGCGGUUGAUUAUCUAGUUGGUGAGGUAACGGCUCACCAAGGCGACGAUCAAUAGGGGGUCUGAGAGGAUGGCCCCCCACACUGGUACUGAGACACGGACCAGACGCCUACGGGAUGCAGCAGUAGGGAAUAUUGGUCAAUGGGGGCAACCCUGAACCAGCCAUGCCGCGUGCAGGAAGACUGCCCUAUGGGUUGUAAACUGCUUUUGUACGGAACGAAACGGCCCUUUCUAAUACAGGGGGCUAAUGACGGUACCGUAAGAAUAAGCACCGGCUAACUACGUGCCAGCCGCCGCCGUAACAC